rnacentral:rRNA from 1 species
CACCAGGUUGAUUCUGCCUGACGUAGAUGCUAGUUUCUAAGAUUAAGCCAUGCAUGUUAUGUGAACUCAGACGAGGGAACGACGAACGGCUCAGUAAUGUUGCGCUGAUUUGCUCUAUGCGGGAAGAAUAACCACGGUAACCUGUGGCUAAGAGUGUAGAAUAAGGUGCAAUCCUAUUAGUUUGUUGGUAGUGUAAAGGACUACCAAGGCAGUGAUGGGUAACGGGAAAUCAGGGUUUGGUUCCGGAGAGG